rnacentral:misc_RNA from 1 species
CACAAAAAAUAUGCAGGCUGUACGCCGCUGUGCCCUCUCGGGGGCUAGUGGCAAAGGCUGAAAUAUUUUUCACCCAUGUCUUUUGCGCACUUGUUGUUUCCUGGGCGGGCUCGCCCGCCACCCUUAGGGACCUUAGCAGCCUUAAACCUUUCUUUUAUCGGCAGCAUUGCAUCAACUGUCCGUAUAACGAAAUGUAAUAUCACUUUAGGCAACCUA